rnacentral:rRNA from 1 species
AUUGAACGCUGGCGGCAGGCCUAACACANGCAAGUCGAGCGGCAGCGGAAAGUAGCUUGCUACUUUGCCGGCGAGCGGCGGACGGGUGAGUAAUGUCUGGGAAACUGCCUGAUGGAGGGGGAUAACUACUGGAAACGGUAGCUAAUACCGCAUAACGUCGCAAGACCAAAGAGGGGGACCUUCGGGCCUCUUGCCAUCAGAUGUGCCCAGAUGGGAUUAGCUAGUAGGUGGGGUAACGGCUCACCUAGGCGACGAUCCCUAGCUGGUCUGAGAGGAUGACCAGCCACACUGGAACUGAGACACGGUCCAGACUCCUACGGGAGGCAGCAGUGGGGAAUAUUGCACAAUGGGCGCAAGCCUGAUGCAGCCAUGCCGCGUGUAUGAAGAAGGCCUUCGGGUUGUAAAGUACUUUCAGCGGGGAGGAAGGCGAUAAGGUUAAUAACCUUGUCGAUUGACGUUACCCGCAGAAGAAGCACCGGCUAACUCCGUGCCAGCAGCCGCGGUAAUACGGAGGGUGCAAGCGUUAAUCGGAAUUACUGGGCGUAAAGCGCACGCAGGCGGUCUGUCAAGUCGGAUGUGAAAUCCCCGGGCUCAACCUGGGAACUGCAUUCGAAACUGGCAGGCUAGAGUCUUGUAGAGGGGGGUAGAAUUCCAGGUGUAGCGGUGAAAUGCGUAGAGAUCUGGAGGAAUACCGGUGGCGAAGGCGGCCCCCUGGACAAAGACUGACGCUCAGGUGCGAAAGCGUGGGGAGCAAACAGGAUUAGAUACCCUGGUAGUCCACGCCGUAAACGAUGUCGACUUGGAGGUUGUGCCCUUGAGGCGUGGCUUCCGGAGCUAACGCGUUAAGUCGACCGCCUGGGGAGUACGGCCGCAAGGUUAAAACUCAAAUGAAUUGACGGGGGCCCGCACAAGCGGUGGAGCAUGUGGUUUAAUUCGAUGCAACGCGAAGAACCUUACCUACUCUUGACAUCCAGAGAACUUUCCAGAGAUGGAUUGGUGCCUUCGGGAACUCUGAGACAGGUGCUGCAUGGCUGUCGUCAGCUCGUGUUGUGAAAUGUUGGGUUAAGUCCCGCAACGAGCGCAACCCUUAUCCUUUGUUG